rnacentral:hammerhead_ribozyme from 1 species
GCACUGCUGAGGAGUGCCACAAUAGGACGAAACGGCCGUCCAGUUC